rnacentral:lncRNA from 1 species
GUAUCUUGUUAAUAUUUUGUUCCAUUUCAGGUGAUAUUUUAUUACUUUUGAUAACCAAGAAAAUAUGAAAUAAGUAAUUGGAUGGCAAAAAUUAGAGAUAGAGAGAGCCCAUUAGAAGCAACUAAUCUAUCCUCCCCUCCAAUACAGCAAUUUGCCACCCCAGGGGCCUGAUUUAUUAUGGCAUAAAUCCAUGGAAUUAUACUGAUGUAAAAUGGAGUAAUGCAGUUAUGAAUCGGGCCCAGUACGUUUUUCAAUGCUUUGUCCAGUCGUUUUCUCUAUCUUUUUAAUGUAAGAGCUACAUCAUGGUAAUGGAUGGGAAAGGAACUUUUUAACCAUGAUUUAGUUUCUUUUGACUCAUAAAACAUGAUAUUUUUGCAUACUAGUUUUUUCAGUUCAACAUGCAUAUUUAUGGUCACUAGCACUAAAUAAUCUUAGGCCUCACUUGAGCAAAAUACUUAAAAUAUGCCUAACUUUAAGCAUGUUAUAGUCCCACCAAAGUCAAUUAAAUUUAGGCAUGUGUUUAAAUAUGUUGCUGAAUUGGGGUCCUAAGGCAUGCAAACAGCAGUUCAGUUAUUGUUUGGUGAUAAAAUCCAAAUAUGGUAACUACCUACAUAUACAGACAACACACAUUUUUUGAAGCUGUCUUAUGUUUCUAAUCUAUUUUUUUGAAAAAUAAAUUAAAAUAGAUCUUGUUAAAAAAGCAAAAUUGUAAUCAAAUUAAAAGUUUAAACGAACCAUAAUAGUUUGGUCUGGUGAUCCGGUUGUAAUUUAGAAUUAAGUGCUGCCUAUAAAUGCUUGGCUGAUUGACUUCUAAUGCCAACUUUAUCUUCCUUGUUUAUUAUCAUGUCUUUAAGAGGGAACAGAACAUAUGGACUGCUAUAUGAAAUCAAUAUCCAUUUCACCAGACAUCUAAUUACAAUAACUUUCUACCCCAAGGAAAGAGAGCACUAAGCUUUUAUGAACACAAAAAGAUUGAAGAAUCAAAUCUCAGCAGCAGUGAAGAUGAAACUGAUAAAUGUUGGAACUUCAGAGGAGACUCUAAUUACAGCAUGCACAAUACGAAGCAUAAAUGCAGGAGCAGAGGGACAGGCUCAGUACGUGCCCUGCAUGUGCCCAGAAGAGAUCUACCACUGGUAUAUGUCAUGUGCCUGAUCUGCUUCAGGGAGUAAUUGAUUCACCUGGUUGCAGGAUCUACUCCAGGAUGUCACCUUGAGUCAU